rnacentral:rRNA from 1 species
GACGAACCGUGCGAACGUUGUUCGGAAUCACUGGGCAUAAAGGGCGCGUAGGCGGCUCGUCAAGUCAGGGGUGAAAUCCGGCAGCUUAACUGUCGAAGUGCCUUUGAUACUGGCGAGCUCGAGGGAGGUAGGGGUGUGCGGAACUUCCAGUGGAGCGGCGAAAUGUGGUGAUAUUGGAAGGAACGCCGGUGGCGAAAGCGGCGCACUGGACCUCUUCUGACGCUGAGGCGCGAAAGCUAGGGGAGCAAACGGG